CUGCCAACAGCCAAGAGGGAAGGAGCUCUCCUAGAGGAAGCUAAGUGAAGAGGCUUGACUGCCCAUUCGGUUUCUGAGCAAUGUAGGAACUGGGGCUAGUGAAGACCAGCCUCUGCAUCUCAGAAAGAAAGAUACAGAAGUGAGAAGAGAGUGUGUUAGUAAGAACUCCUGGAUGUACAAACCUAUUUGGAUUAAAGCAAACUAACAGUUAUCUAAACCCCACCAAUGAGCUGAAAUUGCUUCUAUCACACAUGGCUCUAGUGACUGCGGCAAGUACAAGAUACUGCAGAUGCAUUUAAGAAGUUGGACAUUUUUAAUAUGCGAGUAAAAAAAGAAAGCAGCUCUUUCCUAUCUUGUGUAUAAUAUUUCUGACUUGACUUUAUUAUGAGGACAAAAUGGCAUAAAACCUGUUUGCUUGAACUAUGCAUGUAGUUAGGUCAUUCCCAUUGACUAACUCCUUAAUACAGUAUUGGGGCCCUGUUACACACUGCAAAAAUGUUGAUUAUGUAAGUGCUAUUUUGAGUUUGGAGCAGUCACACCUUAUGGCAGUGGCAGGCAAUUAUUUCAGCUGGAGGGCCACUUAAGGAGUUUUGGUGAGCUGAAAAGGGCUGCCAAGGUAGCCCCAUGCCUUGACAGAUGCCCUGCUCCCUGGUUGCCAUCUUGGCGCUGGAAGUCCUGCCCCUAGCCC